AACGCACAUUGCGCCCCCUGGUAUUCCGGGGGGCAUGCCUGUUCGAGCGUCAUUACAACCCUCAAGCUCUGCUUGGUAUUGGGCGCCACCCCCGGGUGCGCCUUAAAAUCAGUGGCGGUGCCGUCUGGCUUCAAGCGUAGUAAUACUUCUCGCUUUGGAGUCCGGGCGAGCGUCCUGCCAGAACCCCCAUAUUUUUUCAGGUUGACCUCGGAUCAGGUAGGGAUACCCGCUGAACUUAA
rnacentral:misc_RNA from 1 species